rnacentral:tRNA from 4 species
GUCCGGGUGGCGGAAUAGGCAGACGCGCUAGCUUGAGGUGCUAGUGCCCUUUACGGGGCAUGGGGGUUCAAGUCCCCCCUCGGACACCA